AUGGAAAAUCAACAGCAGAAUCCCAUGUUCAUCCAUCAUUCAGAUCAUGCCGGUCUCGUUCUUGUAUCACAUCUCUUGACGGAAGGGAACUAUUCGUCGUGGCGUCGUGCUAUGCUCAUCGCUCUUCGUGCAAAGAACAAGAUCGGAUUUAUUGAUGGUUCGAUUCCGAAACCUCCAGAUGGUGAUCCUGGCAACGCAAUGACAAAGGCGUUGUAUCGUGGCUUUUGA